AAAGGCCCCUUCGGGGGUACUCGAGCGGCGAACGGGUGAGUAACACGUGAGUGACCUGCCCUCCACUUCGGGAUAACCCUCGGAAACGGGGGCUAAUACCGGAUAGGACCUGUUGUCGCAUGGCGAUGGGUGGAAAGGAUUUCGGUCUGGUGGGGGAUGGGCUCGCGGCCUAUCAGCUAGUAGGUGGGGUGAUGGCCUACCUAGGCGGUGACGGGUAGCCGGCCUGAGAGGGUGUCCGGCCACACUGGGACUGAGACACGGCCCAGACUCCUACGGGAGGCAGCAGUGGGGAAUAUUGCGCAAUGGGCGAAAGCCUGACGCAGCGACGCCGCGUGGGGGAUGAAGGCCUUCGGGUUGUAAACCUCUGUCUGCUCUGACGAAGCUGCUGGGUUUUCCUGGUGGUGACGGUAGGGGCGGAUGAAGCGCCGGCCAACUACGUGCCAGCAGCCGCGGUAAGACGUGGGGCGCGAGCGUUGUCCGGAUUUAUUGGGCGUAAAGAG
rnacentral:rRNA from 1 species